AGUUCGAACGCUCCGCACCUGGGAGUUGGCACACGGGUGAGUAACUCGUGGGGAUGUGCCUUGAGGUGGGGAAUAACUGUGGGAAACUACAGCUAAUACCGCAUACGCCCUUUUUGGGGAAAGAUUUAUCGCCUUUAGAGCAACCCGCGUCGGAUUAUCUAGUUGGUAGGGUAAUGGCCUACCAAGGCGACGAUCUGUAGCUGGUCUGAGAGGAUGACCAACCACACUGGGACUGAGACACGGCCCAGACUCCUACCGGAGGCAGCCUUGGGGAAUAUUGGACAAUGGGCGCAAGCCUGAUCCAGCCAUGCCGCGUGAGUGAUGACAGCCUUAAGGUUGUAAAGCUCUUUUAACAAGGACGAUAAUGACGGUACCUGUAGAAUAAGCCCCGGCAAACUUCGUGCCAACAGCCGCGGUAAUACAAAGGGGGCUAGCGUUGUUCGGAAUUACUGGGCGUAAAGCGCACGUAGGCGGAUUGUUAAGUCUGGGGUGAAAUCCUGACGCUCAACCUCAUAACUGCCUUCGAUACUGGCGAUCUUGACUUCAGAAUACGUUGGUGGAACAUCUAGUGUAAAGGUGAAAUUCUUAGAUAUUAUCUAGAACACCAGUGGCCAAUGCGGCCAACUGAUCCGAUACUGACCCUGAGGUGCGAAAGCGUGAGGAGCAAACGUGAUUAGAUACCCUGGUAGUCCACGCCGUAAACGAUGAAUGCCAGCCGUCCGGGAGCUUGCUCUUCUGUGGCGCAGCUAACGCUUUAAGCAUUCCGCCUGGGGAGUACGGUCGCAAGAUUAAAACUCAAAUGAAUUGACGGGGGCCCGCACAAGCGGUGGAGCAUGUGGUUUAAUUUGAAGCAACGCGCAGAACCUUACCAGCCCUUGACAUCCCGGUCGCGGAUCACAGAGAUGAGAUCUUUCAGUUGGGGUGGACCGGAGACAGGUGCUGCAUGGUUGUCGUCAGCUGGUGUCGUGAGAUGUUGGGUUAAGUCCCGCAACGAGCGCAACCCUCGCCCCUAGUUGCCAGCAUUAAGUUGGGCAUUAUAGGGGGACUGCCGGUGAUAAGCCGCGAGGAAGGUGGGGAUGACGUCAAGUCCUCAUGGCCCUUACGGGCUGGGCUACACACGUGCUACAAUGGCGGUGACAGUGGGAAGCGAAGGGGUGACCCCUAGCAAAUCUCCAAAAGCCGUCUCAGUUCAGAUUGCACUCUGCAACUCGAGUGCAUGAAGGUGGAAUGGUUAGUAAUCGCAGAUCAGCAUGCUGCGGUGAAUACGUUCCCGGGCCUUGUACACACCGCCCGUCAGUUGGUUUUCACCCUGAAAGGACGGACAUGCCGUUCCCCU
rnacentral:rRNA from 1 species